ACGCUCGACACCUACUGGAGGCAGCAGUGGGGAAUAUUGCACAAUGGGGGAAACCCGUACGAUGCAGCGACGCCGCGUGAGUGAAGAAGUAAUUCGUUAUGUAAAGCUCUAUCAGCAGGGAAGAAAGUGACGGUACCUGAGUAAGAAGCCCCGGCUAACUACGUGCCCGCAGCCGCGGUAAUCUGAGCGGGCUGGCAAGGC
rnacentral:rRNA from 1 species